CAGUCGCCGCGGGAAUACAGAGGGUGCGAGCGUUAAUCGGAUUUACUGGGCGUAAAGCGUGCGUAGGCGGCUUCUUAAGUCGGAUGUGAAAUCCCUGAGCUUAACUUAGGAAUUGCAUUCGAUACUGGGAAGCUAGAGUAUGGGAGAGGAUGGUAGAAUUCCAGGUGUAGCGGUGAAAUGCGUAGAGAUCUGGAGGAAUACCGAUGGCGAAGGCAGUUAUCUGGCCUAAUACUGACGCUGAGGUACGAAAGCAUGGGGAGCAAACAGGAUUAGAUACCCCCGUAGUCCCUGUCUCUUAUAC
rnacentral:rRNA from 1 species